rnacentral:rRNA from 1 species
GAUGAACGCUGGCGGCGUGCCCAAUACAUGCAAGUCGAGCGAACGGACGAGAAGCUUGCUUGUCUGAUGUUAGCGGCGGACGGGUGAGUAACACGUGGAUAACCUACCUAUAAGACUGGGAUAACUUCGGGACACCGGAGCUAAUACCGGAUAAUAUUUUGAACCGCAGGGGGCAAUGGUGAAAGUCGGUCGUGGUGUCACUUAUAGCUGCAUCUGGGCUGCAUUAGCUGGUUGGUAAGGUAACGGCUUACCAAGGGAACGAGGCAUAUCCGACCUGAUAGAGUGGUCGGCCACCCUGGAACUGAGACGCGGUCCAGACUCCUACGGGAGGCAGCAGUAGGGAAUCGUCCGCAGUGGGCGAAAGCAUGACGGAGCAGCGCCGCGUGAGUGAUGGAAGUCUUCGGAUCGUAAAGCUCUGUUAUUAGGGAAGAACAUAUGUGUAAGUAACUGUGCACAGCUUGACGGUACCUAGUCAAGAAGCCCCGGCUAACUACGUG